UCUCCUUCACAUAAACUAUAAGUGUACCAAAUUUUAUGCUCCUACGUCCGCGCAAUUUUCGUAAAAAGCGGUCCAAAGUUUUUGCAUCACGUAUUAAUAUAUAGAUUGGGCACCACCGCCACUCAUCUCGCGGAUGUCAUAUACCCAACUAAGAAAACACAAGUGACCUCUGAACCCCUCUUGUGUAGAGAAGGCUCAUAGUCCAGUAGUGGACUGUCAUAGGCCCAUGAUGAUGUUGGUUUGCUAGUUUUUCAAUUUGUCUAAAGUUACAUUAAACCGUAAAUAACUACUUAUGAAAUGUCAACAAACAAAUAAUGGUAUGUCAGGCUGUCCAUCAGUGCAGCUAGGUGCGUUUUCCAAAGCGCAGCUUCGAAUGGAUUACGUUUUUUACCGGAUACAUUUCGGAGAGUGUGCGGGGGAAUUGCGCAACUUGAUUCCUCCUAGUCCUUUCCAUUAUCGAACCACAAGACAAUCGGCGAGGCGUCACCGUUUCAUGGUGGAUAUCCCACCCACACGCACGAAGCGCUUCGCUUCAAGCUUCCUAGUGCGAACUGCUAGGGAGUGGAACUCCUUGCCGGAGUCUGUGUUUCCUGAUGGGUAUAACCUGGGUGUCUUCAAAGCCCGAGUGAAUAGGUUGCUUAUGGGCAGACGUGCUCCACCGUAGGCCGCAUCAUCACUUACCAUCAGGCGAGAUAGCGGCCAAACGUCGACCCAUCAAAUGUAAAAAGAAAA